AAAUAUUGGGCAAUGGGCGCAAGCCUGACCCAGCAACGCCGCGUGGGCGAAGAAGGUCUUCGGAUCGUAAAGCCCUUUUGUGAGGGACGAGACAGGACGGUACCUCACGAAUAAGCCUCGGCUAACUACGUCCCAGCAGCCGCGGUAACACGUAGGAGGCAAGCGUUAUCCGGAUUUACUGGGCGUAAAGGGCGUCUAGGUGGUGAGGAAAGUUGGCUGUGAAAGCUCCUGGCUCAACUGGGAGAGGUCAGUCAAAACUACCUGACUUGAGGGUCGGAGAGGGGUGUGGAAUUCCCGGUGUAGCGGUGGAAUGCUUAGAGAUCGGGAGGAACACCAGUGGCGCAGGCGACACCCUGGCCGACAUCUGACACUGAAGCGCGAAAGCGUGGGGAGCGAACAGG
rnacentral:rRNA from 1 species